rnacentral:lncRNA from 1 species
GAGCGUCGCCAUGGGUGCUCCGUUCCACUCCGCACAGCGUGCAGUAAAGAAGUGGCUCUGAAGGUCGGUUGAGAGUACCGGCCUGCGCUUCUGGAAGCGCUGAACGACUCUGAAGUCGAGGGCGAACGCUUGGCUACUCUCAGAAACCCGGGCGGCGGGCGCGAAAAACCCUUACCCACAGAGCGCGCGUCGGCUUCCUCCGGGCCCCGCCCUUCUUCCGGGUCACGUGACGCACGGCGCUCUCAUACCCCGUAUGUAGUUGCCAAAACAAAGGGGAUUUGGCGAUGGAGGCCUUGUUGGAAGGAAUACAAACUCGGGGGCAUAGUGGGUUGGAAUAUUGCAUCAGCAGAUAGAAGAACAAGAAAAAACCAAGCAAGAAAUGGCCCUGGAGUACAAGGAGGAGUUAAUGAAGCUGCAGGAGGAAUUAAGCAGACUGAAGAGAAGCUAUGAAAAACUGCAGAAAAAGCAACUAAGAGAAUUUAGAGGAAAUACCAAAAGUCUGCGAGAGGAUCGGUCUGAGAUUGAGAGGCUGACUGGAAAAAUAGAGGAAUUCCGACAGAAGUCUUUGGACUGGGAGAAGCAGCGUCUGAUUUAUCAGCAACAGGUAUCUUCUCUGGAAGCACAGAGGAAGGCUCUAGCUGAGCAGUCAGAGAUAAUCCAGGCUCAGCUUGCCAACCGGAAACAGAAAUUAGAGUCUGUGGAACUGUCUAGCCAGUCAGAAAUUCAGCACCUGAGCAGUAAGCUUGAGCGGGCUAAGGACACCAUCUGUGCCAAUGAGCUGGAAAUAGAGCGCCUUAAU